CUCAAAUGAUGAGUUCUGAUUACCGCCCCAGUCUGAUGUGUAGUGAUUGAGUGGGAACCCUCUGAUAUGCU
ensembl:snoRNA SNORD31 Small nucleolar RNA SNORD31